UUUGAAAGCGCUUUGGGAAAGUCAUUACGGCAAGCAAUUGACAUACCUGCACCGUCACCAGCUCAGACUCUUUUCCAGACUGCCCAUUAGUUGCGUCCAGAAGCGGAAAAUUAUGGUCCAUUGUCAUGGCAAAGGGGAUCAAUGCUACAAUCUCCUGAGGGGUCAACACAACCUCUGUGGCAUCCUGAAACACCCAGAAGAAGCUAUUCAAUGGAUGAUCCAAUCCAAAAAUCACUUCUUCAUGAUGUGUUAACCAAGCUUGAAGUUGUUAUGGAGCAGCAGAGAAACAUUGUAAGGAUGAUUCAAGGCCUGAAAUCCAACAAUGUAAGAGAUCACAGAGGAAAACGACCUAAGUCCCACUCUUUUUCCAGUGGAAGAUUUAUGGUCCCUAACUGCCCUUGAAAGUAAUCUUCAUCCAGUCCUGAAACAAGACGGGAAGUGGUAAUUGAACUUGGAUUGCUUGGUGGGGUGGACGUUAAGGACACAAUUUGGCAUGUAAUGAAACAGACAAUAAAAAAUGACUUUGCAAAAACGACGAACUGGAAAGGCGCAAAUGGAAAAACAACAUUCCAAGGACUUGAACUGAAGAACGUUGUGAUUGGUAAGUGGUUUUAUAUGUUGUCUUGCAGCUUUUGUUUUCAUGACUUUCACGUGGAGGAAUGUUAAGAAU